rnacentral:rRNA from 1 species
GGAAUAUUGGUCAAUGGGCGAGAGCCUGAACCAGCCAAGUAGCGUGCAGGAAGACUGCCCUAUGGGUUGUAAACUGCUUUUAUGCGGGAAUAAAGUCAGGUACGUGUACCUGUUUGUAUUUACCGCAUGAAUCAGGACCGGCUAAUUCCGUGCCAGCAGCCGCGGUAAUACGGAAGGUCCGGGCGUUAUCCGGAUUUAUUGGGUUUAAAGGGAGCGCAGGCUGAAGAUUAAGCGUGACGUGAAAUGUCCCGGCUCAACCGUGGAACUGCGUCGCGAACUGGUUAUCUUGAGUGAGUUCGAUGUUGGCGGAAUUCGUGGUGUAGCGGUGAAAUGCUUAGAUAUCACGAAGAACUCCGAUUGCGAAGGCAGCCAACAAGGCCUUUACUGACGCUAAAGCUCGAAGGUGCGGGUAUCGAACA